UUUGAAAAUUUACAGCUGCUGAGAACUGUGUGGAGUUCCACUGUAUUUGCCACUUAACGAAUGAUAAGAUAGCUAUAAUUAAAUUAGCGGAAAGAUCCGGGAAGUCAGUGUUCCGAAAUGAUUGAUUAGCGAUAGUACCCGCCAGCGCUCUUCUUGGAAAAAAAAAGAACUUUAAGUAGAAUGAAUGGACAUUCGUUGACAAUGAGUGGGGAAAGAUGUUCGAUUUGCGACAAGUUACUGAAGGAUAAAUGGGAGAUACACAGGAAAAUACUUGGCUGCAUUAAAAUAGACGACCAAUAUGUCGCGUGAAGAUACUUUCUUACACUGCUGGAAAGUAGAAUUGACAAAAAAGUAAAACAUCUUCGUGUUGACGAAAGUGUUAGAGCUGGGUGUGCCUCGGGUGUGAACAACAGGCUUAACGUCUGCUCGAAUUGCCUGUUUGUAGUUAUGUGCAGUAGCAUCUGUUCUGUUAUCAUAAAGUUAAAUGCGAUUGUAACAUGACAUAUUGCUGCGAUCGGUGCACGUAACUACGUGUAAAUAUGUCUGCUAGCAGUCGUUUGGAUCGUGUUUACCGAAAUAUUUUACAGACAAAAUUUUUUACGAAAGGUUGGGGCAAUACAGAAAAUCUGAAAAGGCUGUUUGAAUUUAGAAAAGUGGUUUCAAGGCGAGAAUCGUGUUUUAACUUGGUACCCCCGGAUUAUCCCGUAUCUGUGUUCAAAGAUGAAACUGUGGGAGACUAUAGGAUCCUUGAAGGAAAAUUUUUGUCACCAUUUAUGAAGCACCUACCAAACAUUUUGCCUAAAGAAGCAGAAACUGCCUAUUUUCAGGCUGUUCUCCCAGCUGAAUGGCAAUCAAAGCAAUACAGACCAGUAUGCAUACAUUUGGCUGGUACAGGUGACCAUGGAUACUGGAGGAGAAGACAAAUAAUGGCUAAACCACUUAUAAAGGAAUAUGGUAUUGGUGCUGUAUUGCUGGAGAAUCCAUUUUAUGGCCUGCGAAAGCCUAAGGAUCAAGUUCGUUCCAGUCUCCAUAAUGUUUCUGACAUAUUUGUUAUGGGUGGUUGCCUGAUACUAGAAUCUCUGGCAAUUCUUCACUGGUGUGAGAAGUCUGGGUUUGGACCCCUUGGUUUAACUGGAAUAUCAAUGGGAGGACAUAUGGCAUCACUGGCAGCUACAAAUUGGCCAAAGCCUAUUGUACUAGUUCCUUGUCUGUCUUGGUCUACAGCAUCAUCUGUUUUUACUGAGGGAGUUAUGAGUGAGUCCAUCAACUGGGAUUUGCUUGCAUCACAGUACUUUUCUGAUGACACCUAUAGAGAAGAAAUUCGCAAAAUGGUGACUGUGAAAGAGGAUGCAUUCCGAGCUGGACAGCAUUUUGCGAAGCAUUACCCUCAGAGUUUGGAUCGUGUCAAUGAACUGAGAAGAGAGUCACAGGUCACGGAUGCAGGUGAUAACAGUAAGGAGGUAAACAGUUCAGAACCAGUUAAAACCAGUGCAGGCUCUUUAAAUGUAACUUUAAUGUGUAAAGACAAAGGAGUGUUCACGUUUCAAAAACAAAACGGAAAUUCAGGUGCCUCCUCUAAACAGAAUUCAUCACUUGAUGUGUCAACACCAUCUGUAAAUAAACAGGAAACAGUUAAUGUGGGAGAAGUGUCACAUGUGCAGAAUAACAUUCAGGAGUGCUGUAGAACUGUUAGUGGAAACAUAAAUAAGUUAAACAAUGGUAUUCCAUAUACUCAUAGUGUGGUAUCAAAAUUAAGUAGCAACAUAUUAUCAGUGAACAUUGUUAACCAGAACCUGCCAACAACCAAAAUAAAGGAAUUGCUGAGGGAUCUGAAACUCCUAGAAUCUUGGAGGAAGAAUAAUGAAGACCAGAAAAAGAAAGGUAGUACUCAACAUCUCAAGAGGAAGCGUGAAUAUGAAGUUCUCCAGUUUAUGCGUGGCAUUAUGGAUGAGUGCACACAUUUGCAAAACUUUGAUGUUCCAGUGGAUACCUCAUUAAUUAUAGCUAUUUGUGCUCGUAAUGAUGCCUAUGUACCUCGUGACAGUUGUACUCACCUUAGUGAAAUAUGGCCUGGUGCAGAAAUACGUUACAUUGAUGCUGGUCAUGUGACUGCAUAUGUGCUUCAUCAGAGAAUUUUCAGGCUUCCCUUGUCAAAAGACCCAUGGCAUUACCGUUAUGAGCAAGGAGUACAACUACGCUAGUAUCUUCUCGAAGGCCACAGAGAGCAGCUCUUUCAGUUGGCAUGAUAUUACUCCAUUCUGGAGCAAAUUUCAACAGCAUUUGGCAAGAUUCUCAUUGAACUUCAUCUGCAGAAUACACAGAGAGAGGCUUAAUGGCUUCCACAAUAGAACUGAUGAAAUCCAUUAAAGAAGAGCAGCAAUUGCGGAAUCUUUUGAACGUCUCAGAAAGAAGUACUAUUUGUAAUCAGAAGCUGGUAACUGUCAUAGUGAAACAAUUAAAUGUUGUUGUGGAAGGUGGCUUUUAAAUUGUAUUAAUUUAUAUUUUUUAUUGUAAAUAAUGGUGUAAAUUAUUUUCAUCGGUAAACUUAUUAGAUUUAGACAAAAAUAAAUAUUAAAGAAUUCUGUACUGUGGUUUAAAAAUGACAGAAAAAGAGAGAGAGCAGUGGUGAUGUACAAACAAUGCACAAGAAGUAUCAUGUUGAUGUUAAAAGUGGAUAUAAUUGUUGAAUUGUAGUAUUUAAUAUCAUUGCUACAAUUCCUUGUUUUAGCACAUGAACAUCUGGGGUCCAAAAAUGACUGACUGGCAAUUUAUCAAUCACUCUUUUUACAUCAGUCUUGUAAAACUGCAAAGUGUUCAUGCCAUUUAAGUAUUUUGUAAGAUUGUGACAAAAUUGCAUCAAAUUAUUUUUUAAAGAUUUUUCAAGGACAGUCACAAGAGGUAAAUGAAUAAAUUACUGCCAUUUACUAAAGAUUUCAGAAACUAUUUAGUAGCAUAGCAGUUUAUUUUGAACAGAGGACAUUCUCUUGAUUUAUACAGAAAUUUUGUAAACUUAACUUUGUAACUGAAGACUGCAAUUUUUGAUCAUGAUUGAACAUGAUAUUGUUGGGAAUCAUAUUUCAGCAUCACUUGUGUGAGUGGGCAAACAUGAGUAUUUUGAAAUCGGAUUAUUAUUAAUCCUUUUUUACAUUAUGACUGCUAAAAUUGAAAUAUAACUGUUUGUAACUAAAAUAACAAUAAAUGUGUUCAACAAAUA